rnacentral:rRNA from 1 species
CUUGCUCCUUUGACGUUAGCGGCGGACGGGUGAGUAACACGUGGGUAACCUACCUAUAAGACUGGGAUAACUUCGGGAAACCGGAGCUAAUACCGGAUAACAUUUGGAACCGCAUGGUUCUAAAGUGAAAGAUGGUUUUGCUAUCACUUAUAGAUGGACCCGCGCCGUAUUAGCUAGUUGGUAAGGUAACGGCUUACCAAGGCGACGAUACGUAGCCGACCUGAGAGGGUGAUCGGCCACACUGGAACUGAGACACGGUCCAGACUCCUACGGGAGGCAGCAGUAGGGAAUCUUCCGCAAUGGGCGAAAGCCUGACGGAGCAACGCCGCGUGAGUGAUGAAGGGUUUCGGCUCGUAAAACUCUGUUAUUAGGGAAGAACAAAUGUGUAAGUAACUGUGCACGUCUUGACGGUACCUAAUCAGAAAGCCACGGCUAACUACGUGCCAGCAGCCGCGGUAAUACGUAGGUGGCAAGCGUUAUCCGGAAUUAUUGGGCGUAAAGCGCGCGUAGGCGGUUUCUUAAGUCUGAUGUGAAAGCCCAC